UCCGCCGAUCCCUUCCCUCGCUGCUCCGCCGAGGAACGAAGCUUUGCUGUUCUACCUCGCUGAUUCGCGCAGCUGUAGCCUGCAGUGUUCUGCUCGGUCACAGCCACUGGAAUUUGAACUGCGGUUUUCUGCUUCUUUAUCCCGUGCUCCUGAAUACUUGGACCUGCGGUGCGUGCACGGACUUUCAUUCAGGCACAAAUGAUGAAACUAAGAUUGGCUGAACAUGUAUCUCCCAUUCGCGGAAUUCUUCCCUUGAUACAACUCAAGGCUAUGUCCUCGUUUUCGGCUGGUCAUGGGCGCCGACCGAAGAAAAAGCUUUAUCACCGCGAGCCUGGCCUCGACAAGGCCAUGGACCUCCACAAGAAGCCCGCUCUCCUCCUUCGACUCCGUGAGCUCAUCAUGGCCCAAAAGUCUGGUUCGCUACUCGUGCGCGACCUUGAAAAGGAGGUUGGCUUUGUCCAGAAAUGGAACUUUGUUGCACUUAUCGAGCGCCACCCCAAUAUCUUCCGUGUCUCUGGUGGAAGUACAUCACGGGAGCCCAUUGCUGUUACGCUUACCGAGAAAGCCAGAAAUAUUUCCAGUGAAGAGAUCCAUGCACAAGAGCUAAUGGAGCCUGUCCUAGUAAGAAAUCUGAGGAAGCUGCUAAUGAUGUCGAUGGACUGCCAGAUCCCUCUAGAGAAGAUUGAGCUUAUCCAGUCUGAAUUGGGUUUACCAAAGAACUUUAAGAACAAGUUGAUUCCUAGUUACCCUGAUUUUUUUUCAAUCCGUGAUGUGAGUGGAUUGGACCACCUGUGUUUGGAGAGUUGGGAUUCUUCACUAGCAGUCACAGCACGAGAAGAAAAACUGAAUUUCGAUGGAUUCCAGAUGGAGUAUAGAGGGGUUCCUAAAGAUGGAAAUAUACUGGGUCCUUUUGCUUUCAAGGUAAAGUAUCCAGCAGGAUUUAGGCCCAACCGAAAGUACCUUGAGGAGUUAGUCAGGUGGCAGAAGAUGGCAUUUCCUUCACCUUAUUUGAAUGCUAGGGAAGUGGAGCCUGCAACUCCACAGGCUCGGAAGCGAUCUGUUGCUGUUUUACAUGAGAUUUUGAGCUUGACAAUGCACAAAAGACUGACAUCUGAUAAGCUUGAAGUCUUCCAUAACGAGUACAGGCUGCCAUGCAAGCUACUUCUUUGCUUAAUAAAAAAUCAUGGUAUCUUCUACAUCACUAACAAGGGAGCAAGAAGUACUGUCUUCCUCAAGGAGGCCUAUGAUGACACUGACCUUAUUGAGAAGUGUCCUCUGUUGAAAUUCCAUGAUCAGUUUUCAUCUUUAAUUGGCCGACCAUGCUCUGACUCAAAUACUGCACUGGCAGUAUAAAUGGAGUAUUGAUUUAUUGGGAGGCCAAACCACGGUUGGCUGGCUUGUGCAUCCUCUUAGUUGAUUGCUAGAUGCUCACAUGAGCUCAUUUGCACGCAACCAGCUAUAAGGAUAUUUGUUGCUGUUCUGCAAGUUAAAACGUGUCAUACUCACACAGUUACACCACUAGAUUCUAUUGAUUGCCCAUUUCUGUUAAGCAAGACUUAUGCCUGGGACUAUGGUCCCCAUUUCCCACAUGUUUGUAAUCUACAGUGUCAAUUGUUCAGCAGACGAAAUCAUAGAGUGUGAACUGUAAUCCAAGAUGGCAUAUCAAUUACUGUGCGAUCUUUAACCAGCAGGGACAGUAGUCAAGUACAGAGACAUUACAGUGGAGUGCUUUGACGGAUUGAGCGAGGGCUGAAAAAUGGCAUCCUCCAGAAUCCUGUAGGUGAAGUGGUUGCUUAGUCUUGAAUAAUGGCUGGUGAAAUUGGGUAAACACUGCUUUGCUGUUGAUGCCGGACCGGAUUCUACAUGUGCAAAGUUUCAUUGGUUGUUAUGCCAAUACCUGCAACAGGCUGCUGAU